CUCAACACAAGUGUCCAGCCAAUGUUCCCCUCAAUAUUAUUGAAGAAGUCUGGAAUGCUCUGGGUGAUUGUUACGAUGAUUCUGUUCAGUGACUCUAAUCCUGAUGAGCUCAUGGCUUUAUCUGACCAAGCUGCAAAAGGAAAAGAGAUGGCCGGGGAGCUACCUUCACCGGAUCUGCCACCUAACUAUGCAUUUGAAAUGGGCUUCGAACCAGCAUUGCAGAGGGCAAACUUCCCGUAUCCAAGCAUAACCAUUCAACCUAUACCAUGGCUCAGAGAGACACUUCUACAUUUUGGGUUGAUCACAUUGCUGUCGAAACAUUCCCUCUGGAGAAUGGACACACACAAUGUAAAAUUGGUUUCACUGUUUACGCUAGGGCGGCCGGGUAAUCAGCGAGGCACUUGAAAGGAUUGGGUACAAUAUUCCAACAUACUCCUCCACUAGAAUGGGAGCUUUGGAAGGGGCCUUCACCAUGAUAUUGACAACUUUUGUGAAUCUAUUGCUGCCAACAACAUAAAUGAUGUGAGGGAGGCAUAUGACUUAACAUACGCAAGUUGUAGCUUUGGAGCCAUUAUAAACCAAGCCCUUCAUCAAUUGGGUGGUUAUAGUUGGCAUUUUGGUGAACCUAUUUUCACUUCAGAGGGAAUCUAGGAAAGAAUUGUUGUGACUAGGGGAAGUUCUGGACCACUGCUGAUGGUAAUGAGUAGACCUUGUGAACGAUCUUGUGAAGCAAAGGAGAGUGCACUAAUAAAUACAAUGAUCUACAUCAGUGACAUUUGUGCCUACGAAAUUAAUGACCUGCACUUCUCCGAGUACGUGGUAUGAUGUCAUGAAGUUCUAGGAAUUUAAUUUAGUCUUGGUUGUUGGUUGUAAUGAACUAUUCUGAGUUGUUGUGCUUUGUACUGAACUAAUUUAUAUUAUGCGUGUUGGUUUGGCAACUAGUGAAUUACAUGCAACUGGUGAAGCAAGCACCAAGUUUGAGA